GCCAGUGUGGUGUAAUGGUUUGACUGCUGGACCGCAACUCUGGAGACCUGUGUUCGAAUCCCAGCUUGGCCA